rnacentral:rRNA from 1 species
CAACAGGGCAUUGCCUCAGUAACGGCGAGUGAAGCGGCAAAAGCUCAAAUUUGAAAUCUGGCACCUUCGGUGUCCGAGUUGUAAUUUGAAGAAGGUAACUUUGGAGUUGGCUCUUGUCUAUGUUCCUUGGAACAGGACGUCACAGAGGGUGAGAAUCCCGUGCGAUGAGAUGCCCAAUUCUAUGUAAAGUGCUUUCGAAGAGUCGAGUUGUUUGGGAAUGCAGCUCUAAGUGGGUGGUAAAUUCCAUCUAAAGCUAAAUAUUGGCGAGAGACCGAUAGCGAACAAGUACAGUGAUGGAAAGAUGAAAAGAACUUUGAAAAGAGAGUGAAAAAGUACGUGAAAUUGUUGAAAGGGAAGGGCUUGAGAUCAGACUUGGUAUUUUGCAAGCUUUACCUUCGUGGUGGAGUCCCCUGCAGUUUACUGGGCCAGCAUCGGUUUGGAUGGUAGGAUAAUGACUUGGGAAUGUGGCUUUGCUU